rnacentral:rRNA from 1 species
ACUACGGGAGGCAGCAGUGAGGAAUAUUGGUCAAUGGCCGGAAGGCUGAACCAGCCAAGCCGCGUGAAGGACGAAGGUGUCAAGCAUUGUAAACUUCUUUUGUCAAGGGACAAAAUCAGGCUCGAGAGCCUGACCGAGGGUACUUGAAGAAAAAGCAUCGGCUAACUCCGUGCCAGCAGCCGCGGUAAUAAGGAGGAUGCGAGCGUUAUCCGGGUUUAUUGGGUUUAAAGGGUGCGUAGGCGGGCUGUUAAGUCAGCGGUAAAAACCCGGGGCUCAACCCCGGCGAGCCGUUGAAAAUGGCUGUCUUGAGAUGUCGAGAGGUAUGCGGAAUGCGCAGUGUAGCGGUGAAAUGCUUAGAUAUUGCGCAGAACUCCGAUUGCGAAGGCAGCAUACCGGCGGCGAUCUGACGCUGAGGCACGAAAGCGUGGGUAUCGAACAGGAUUAGAUACCCCUGUAGUC